rnacentral:rRNA from 1 species
AGCGAACGCUGGCGGCAUGCCUAACACAUGCAAGUCGAGCGGGCGUAGCAAUACGCCAGCGGCAGACGGGUGAGUAACGCGUGGGGACGUACCUUUUGGUUCGGUACAACACAGGGAAACUUGUGCUAAUACCGGAGAAGCCCUUACGGGGAAAGAUUUAUCGCCGAAAGAUCGGCCCGCGUCUGAUUAGCUAGUUGGUAGGGUAAUGGCCUACCAAGGCGACGAGCAGUAGCUGGUCUGAGAGGAUGAUCAGCCACAUUGGGACUGAGACACGGCCCAAACUCCUACGGGAGGCAGCAGUGGGGAAUAUUGGACAAUGGGGGCAACCCUGAUCCAGCCAUGCCGCGUGAGUGAUGAAGGCCCUAGGGUUGUAAAGCUCUUUUGUGCGUGAAGAUAAUGACGGUACCGCAAGAAUAAGCCCCGGCUAACUUCGUGCCAGCCGCCGCGGUAA